GACAGAGGGUGCAAACGUUGUUCGGAAUUACUGGGCGUAAAGCGCGUGUAGGCAGCUUGGCAAGUCGGGUGUGAAAGCCCUGGGCUCAACCUAGGAAGUGCACUCGAAACUGCUUCGCUUGAGUAUCGGAGAGGAAAGCGGAAUUCUCGGUGUAGAGGUGAAAUUCGUAGAUAUCGGGAGGAACACCAGUGGCGAAGGCGGCGACCUGGACAGAUAGUUGACGCUGAGGUGCGAAAGCGUGGGGAGCAAACAGG
rnacentral:rRNA from 1 species